AGAAAGGACAACCUUUUGGCUCUUCUUGAUAAAAGUGAUGAUGACAUCUCUUUGCAGAUAUCCACUGUGGUAGCCAGCUACAAAAUCCCACAGAUCACUUUUAAAAGUGUUUCAGACACUCUGAAUGAUAACAGUCAAUUCCCCUUUUUCCACCGCAUGGUUCCCAAAGAAGGAAUCCAGUACCAAGCAAUUAUCCAACUGCUCCUCCAUUUCAAAUGGACCUUGGUUGGUGUCUUUACUACAGACACAGAGGAGGGAGAGGUUUUCAUGAGGACUUUGACCCCUACGCUUGUCAAGAAUGGUAUUUGUGUUGUUGUGUCACGUAAGUUCUCAAUGAUUGCAAGUAGAAUGUUGCUAUUCAUUGAUGGCCUCUCUAAGUGGAGACAAGCCAAUGUCUUUGUUUACUUUGUAGAAAAGGGUUGGCUCGAACAAGGAAUGAUGGUUGUACAUGACACACUACAAUGCCUGCCAGAACCCAUUGAAGGAAAAGUCUGGAUCACCACAGCCUUAUGGGAACUUACAUUUGCAUGGCAACACAUUAAAGAAUAUUUGCAGUACA